rnacentral:rRNA from 1 species
CCUACGGGGGGCUGCAGUGGGGAAUAUUGGACAAUGGGGGGAACCCUGAUCCAGCCAUGCCGCGUGUGUGAAGAAGGCCCUCGGGUUGUAAAGCACUUUCAGUGAGGAAGAACGCCUGGUGGUUAAUACCCAUCAGGAAAGACUUCACUCACAGAAGAAGCACCGGCUAACUCCGUGCCAGCAGCCGCGGUAAUACGGAGGGUGCGAGCGUUAAUCGGAAUUACUGGGCGUAAAGCGCGCGUAGGUGGCUUGAUAAGCCGGUUGUGAAAGCCCCGGGCUCAACCUGGGAACGGCAUCCGGAACUGUCAAGCUAGAGUGCAGGAGAGGAAGGUAGAAUUCCCGGUGUAGCGGUGAAAUGCGUAGAGAUCGGGAGGAAUACCAGUGGCGAAGGCGGCCUUCUGGACUGACACUGACACUGAGGUGCGAAAGCGUGGGUAGCAAACAGGAUUAGAUACCCUGGUAGUC